AUGAAAAAGUAUAACCGUCGAGGAAGGGGAAGCCCAUCCCAGCUUGGCAUUGUUGUCUAACGUGGUUAAUCAGAUCCUAUAAUCCUGCUGUGGAAAUAUUGGGCCUCACUCAAAACAAUAGAGACCAAGAAUAUUGUAGUUAAAUUUCAACCAACUGCCUCCCUGGCCUGUUUGCCUAACCCCUACCCCCCUCUCUAGGGCCAGAGUCCUCCCAGCUUUAUGGACCCCUGAUAGGAUCGACAGCUGGUCAGAAAUCGGGACAGGAGACAGGAAUGGAGUAGGGGAAGAGCGAUCCCCUUGACUGGCACUCCAUCCUGCCUUCUCCCUCUCUUCCAAGGCCUUGAAGGGUGGAUAGAGGAUGAUAAAAUGGGUUCAAGCUGGUAGGGAAGCCCUACAGGUGUGAGUCUUAGCUCAGGGGUCAAGAAUAGUACUGCUGGGAAUCAUUGGUGACAAAGAGAUCUUUUAUUCAAGACAGAAAAAGACCUCUGCCAAGUGAGAAGGAGAGAUUGUCAGUUUCAUUUAUUACUGGUGUCUGAUGCUUCCAAGGCACAAAGCAAUACUAGUUGGUCCUGUGUCACCCAUGGGAGGAAUGGGAAGGCACUGGUUGGGUGAGAUGGAAUUUUUUGUGUCAUCAGUAAUCCAAUAACAGCAAUAUUACUACUGAUACUCUGAUGAUAUAUAAAGGUGAUACUGAUAAGACAACCUGAAUGCUUUUCUGAUGGUGGUGAUGUCCAUUGUGUUUAAUAAGUACAAAUUAAAUAUGGCAAAAUAAUUUUUAAAAUGGAAUAGCAGGACAAAAGGGAUAGGUUGUUUGAGAAGAUAGGUUAAUUUUGAAUCAAAAAUGGAAAAGAUGCAGUGUCUGGAUUUUGCGAAUGGGGAGAUUGAACACAAUGACGUGUUAAGCAAGAGGCUGGGAGAGUUCCUCCUGCAGAUGCUUCACCCGACUAUGAAGUGGCCAACUUGAGUUUGAACUUGGCUGUUCAAACCCAAGACACAGGGACAUGGCUUGCAGCCACGCUGUUUUGGAGGCGUCACUAGUCAAGAAGGUGAAGUACAGUGAGGCCCCAGCUCCAGCACUCUGGACUAUUGAACGGUCAAAGUGUAUGUGCAUUUUUAGGAUUUGAAGAAUGAAAAUCGCAGAACAGUGCCAAAUGAAACUGCAUUAAUCUGUCUCCAGAGGGUGGGGGUGGCACUACAGCAGAAAACCCUGGCAGAUGUUCUCACUAGGGUGCUCUGUGAUGAUCCAGGGACUGGUGUGGUCAUUCAUCAAAGCCAGGGUGAAGCAGGGACUGAACUUUCCACCUGCAGUACAUCUGGGAAGCUGUUCUGAGAAAUGAGAAUCUAAGACAUAUGCAUGAUUCUGGACCGGAAUCCCAGAAGUAACUUCAUGGUGGUUGCUGACCGGGACUGAAGCAGGUAGAGAACCUGAUACCAAAUGAUCUAAAAAUGAUGGAAAAUACUUCAAAAUGUAAGCAAUUGGGUAAUGAGUGGGAAGAAUUCAAUGAGAAGAAAGAUUCCCACAGAAGCCCCAGAGGAUGGGCUGUAUUUCUGAAGGAGAAGAAGAAUAUAAGAAGCCAAGUUGGUUGGUUAAACCUCAUGCUGUUCAUACACUUGAAUUGCAAAUGGGAAAAUCUAAACUGAAAACAUCACUACAAUGAAUUUCCAAAGAAUGGCACCAGUUUGUAGGCAUUGUUGUAAUAGAUUUUUAAAAACCUAUAUUCAACAAGAAACAGGAAUAAUUAAACAUGCGUUAAUUUUAAUCCUGUUGAUUGAGUGCUUAUUCCCUGGCAUUCUCACCAACAGGGGUGCUCUGCUGCUUUCUAAAUGGCCACAGGGACAUACUCCCCGCGUUCCACAAGCCUACACAAUACAAAAUUGAUAUUUAAAGAAUAGAAUUUUUGCCCCAAAUUUUAAGUUUAUGAAAUAGAAAGUGAGAGCCAUGAUAAUACAUCUUUUUUUUUAAGUUUAAAAGAAUCCUAUAUGUAAGUACUCUUUUGUUACCUACUCUUACUGAACUAUGCUGUUUGUCCAUAUUUACACAUCAGUACAUACAUUUCAUUUUUUUAAAAAAAAGAGAGGGAGAGAGAAUUUUAAUAUUUAUUUUUUAGUUUUCGGCAGACACAACAUCUUUGUUUGUAUGUGGUGCUGAGGAUCGAACCCGGGCCGCACGCAUACCAGGCAAGCACGCCACCACUUGAGCCACAUCCCCAGCCCAACAUACAUUUCUUUAAAGAGUAUAUUAUUUUGCGAGGUUGGAAUCAUACACCUGUAAUCCUAGCAACUCGGGAGGCUGAGGCAGGAGGAUCUUAAGUUCUAGGCCAGUCUCAGGAACUUGGCAAGACCCUGUCUCAAGAUGAAAAAUAAAAGAACUGGGGAUGUAGCUCAGUGGUAAAGCACCCCUGGGUUUAAUCCUCCAUAGCCCCCCAAAAAGGAGAGGACUAAAUUUUCUUUAACUGGAGUUUUAUAAAAGCUUGGAAAUGGGGCUGGGGCUGGGGCUCAGCGGUAGCACACUUGCCUGGCAUGAAUGAGGCAAUGGGUUCCAUUCUCAGCACCACAUGUAAAUAAAUAAAAUAAAGGUCUAUCAACAACUAAAAAAAAAAAAAGUUUGGAAAACACCCUUGUGAUCAGGAAGUAGAAAGUCAAGGUCACUUGCUCCAGUUUUUCUCUUAACUUUAUCUUCUUCCAUCGAAAUGAUCUCUUUGUCUUUCUGUAACAUGCCAAGCAUGUCAGGGUCUCUUUGAUCUACGCAGUUGUCUGCCUAAAAGUUUCUUUCCCUAGAUACCUGCUUAGGCAAAACCUUCACCUCUUUCAGGUCUUUGUUGAAACUAUACCCUUUCAAAGAGUUCUACAUUGACUACUCCAUGGAGCAAGCUGCCUGCUGACCUCCUUGCUCCCCACAAGCUGGCUGACCCCCUCCAUCCUGUUAUCUUGUUUCAUGUGUUUUUCUCAUGGUCCCCCCUUAUUGCCUUUUAAUGCAUUCUAUGUUUUAUUUAUUGUAUUUUUGUUUUUAAUUGUUAAUCUCCCCAACUCCUCCCCACCAGAGUAAAGCUUCAUGAAGUCAGAGAUCUUUGUUCUUUUGUUAUUAAUUUUUUUUUGUUGGUUGGUUUUUUUGUCUUCUUACAUCCCAAGCAUCUGGAAUGAUGUGUGGCAUUUAGUAGGCGCUCAAAAUUUUUGUUUUUGUGGAGUAAAAAUAUGAAGAAAUGUUAAUAUGCAAUCACACACACACACCUUCUCAUACCACAGUAUCUUGGGGUAGUUUUAAAAAUUUGUGGUUAUAAGCCAAAGUAGUGUUUUAGGAAGGGGAGAACCUGUCAUAGGGUGGGAAUAGGAUUUAAAUACCAUUUUGUUAUCAAUAAUUAUAAUGGAAUGGAUUUGUUAUUUGUGGAAACUAAGAAUAC
rnacentral:lncRNA from 1 species